UCUGGUGAAUGAUAUAGAGAG
rnacentral:snRNA from 1 species